UUACGUGCCAGCAGCCGCGGUAAUACGUAGGGUGCGAGCGUUAUCCGGAAUUAUUGGGCGUAAAGAGCUCGUAGGCGGUUUGUCGCGUCUGUCGUGAAAGUCCGGGGCUUAACCCCGGAUCUGCGGUGGGUACGGGCAGACUAGAGUGCAGUAGGGGAGACUGGAAUUCCUGGUGUAGCGGUGGAAUGCGCAGAUAUCAGGAGGAACACCGAUGGCGAAGGCAGGUCUCUGGGCUGUAACUGACGCUGAGGAGCGAAAGCAUGGGGAGCGAACAGGAUUAGAUACCCUGGUAGUCCAUGCCGUAAACGUUGGGCACUAGGUGUGGGGACCAUUCCACGGUUUCCGCGCCGCAGCUAACGCAUUAAGUGCCCCGCCUGGGGAGUACGGCCGCAAGGCUAAAACUCAAAGGAAUUGACGGGGGCCCGCACAAGCGGCGGAGCAUGCGGAUUAAUUCGAUGCAACGCGAAGAACCUUACCAAGGCUUGACAUGUUCUCGAUCGCCGUAGAGAUACGGUUUCCCCUUUGGGGCGGGUUCACAGGUGGUGCAUGGUUGUCGUCAGCUCGUGUCGUGAGAUGUUGGGUUAAGUCCCGCAACGAGCGCAACCCUCGUUCCAUGUUGCCAGCACGUAGUGGUGGGGACUCAUGGGAGACUGCCGGGGUCAACUCGGAGGAAGGUGAGGACGACGUCAAAUCAUCAUGCCCCUUAUGUCUUGGGCUUCACGCAUGCUACAAUGGCCGGUACAAUGGGUUGCGAUACUGUGAGGUGGAGCUAAUCCCAAAAAGCCGGUCUCAGUUCGGAUUGGGGUCUGCAACUCGACCCCAUGAAGUCGGAGUCGCUAGUAAUCGCAGAUCAGCAACGCUGCGGUGAAUACGUUCCCGGGCCUUGUACACACCGCCCGUCAAGUCACGAAAGUCGGUAACACCCGAAGCCGGUGGCCUAA
rnacentral:rRNA from 1 species